CACAGAUGAAUACUUGCUCUAUUGAUGGAGAAAUUUCCCUUUCUGGUGAUGAAAUUUUCAAAAAGAUGGUUGACUUUGAAAAUGGACUACACAAAAAUAAUUGCAUCCAAUUUUUAGAAUCCACCGAGGAACAAAGGCAUGAAGAGCCAAAUUUACGUCUGAAAUUCUUAAAGAAACAGG